GAAGCUGACCAGACAGUCGCCGCUUCGUCGUCGUCCUUUCGGGGAGACGGGCGGAGGGGAGGAAAGUCCGGGCUCCAUAGGGCAGGGUGCCAGGUAACGCCUGGGGGGGAAACCCACGACCAGUGCAACAGAGAGCAGACCGCCGAUGGCCCACGUAAGUGGGAUCAGGUAAGGGUGAAAGGGUGCGGUAAGAGCGCACCGCGCGGCUGGUAACAGUCCGUGGCACGGUAAACUCCACCCGGAGCAAGGCCAAAUAGGGGUUCAUAAGGUACGGCCCGUACUGAACCCGGGUAGGCUGCUUGAGCCAGUGAGCGAUUGCUGGCCUAGAUGAAUGACUGUCCACGACAGAACCCGGCUU
rnacentral:RNase_P_RNA from 1 species